CUGAUCCUCACUAACUUCACCAAGCGAUGACGACACACACAGAGACCUUUGGAAAAGGAGACACAUUCUUUGAAACAGCAACAGCUGUCUAGUCUCGUGACAGAUGCCAGAACAGCCUGAAAGAGAGAUAGAGGGAAAGUGAGAAGAAAAUGAAGAGAGGAAGAGGAAAAGGAGGCGGCUAGGUGGGGAGACACAGAAUCAGCAGGCGAGAAAUUGAGUUGACUACCUGCCAAACGCAAGCAGAGGGGAGGAGGACACAGGAGGGGUGGAGAGCAGGAGACCGCUGGCCUGAGGCGCUUGGCUCAGGUUUGUUAACGUGUCUACAGUAGAGUGGGGGAGUGAUGAGAGCUCGCUGUGGCCACUGGCCAUUGACUGUCAUAAAAACAUGCCUUCUGCCGUCAGCGGUGAUGCCGGGGAUAUAAACAC